CGUUAUUGUUUAAACCUAAAAUCUUUUUGUCUGUUCUAAACUUUUCUUUUAUCUAUUUUUUGUGGUUUUUUAACAAAGUGGUAAUAGUAGAAACUAUCAGCAGUUAAUCAUACCUCUUCUGCAACAUGAAAGGAUGGUAAAUUAGAACGUAGAACUAAUUUGAUAUUAGGAGGCAAGCUUUGAUAUAGUGAAUCCUUUGUAUUUGCAGCAGGCAUGGUUGAUUUGGCUACCUGAGUGUCAAUACAGGACACAGUAGAAUGUUACUCAAAUGUAUUUGCUUAGAAUGACACAAAAUUGAACAACUUUGACUAGUAUAUAUAACUACACCUAAUUCAAUCUAAGAAAAUGCAGAGGGAAUCAUUAGUGAACAAAUCAUAUCCCAAUAUCAUAUAACUAGGUUUGAAUGUGAAAUCUGAUUAAAACAUACAAAAUCUCAUGAAUAUAUAUUUCAAUAUCCUAAAUUAUUUUUAUAGGAACCGUGGUUCGUUAUGAUCUGGAUCAGGCUCAGGUGUUCUGUGACUAGAAUGUGUCAUGUAUGAAAACAUGAUGCUGAGCAACUCAAUCCGUUAAAAAGAAAAUUGAAGGUAUAUAUUGUUUGAUGCCUUGACAAAUUGGGAAGUUUCAACUACCGCCAAGCAUGGUUGAAAACAAAAAAUAAAUAAAACUGAGAAUUUUCCUGGCACCAGCUAUGCUAUGAUAUAGGUGUUGGAUCUAAUGCAGCAUGGAAAAAAGGCACGACAACUAUUGUUUCAUUUUUAAAGUACCUGUAGAAGGGCACUGAGGCAAGUUGUCAGACCUCAUUAAAAACGCACUCCAAAACCCUUUUUAGUGGAAGCCAAGUGUCGAGAAGAGAGUUAGAAUUUCAGAGAAUGGAAAACAGGCACCGCAGAAUCACUUCCGGCGUCAAGAGCUUCCAGUUAAACCGUUCGGUUUGUAAAGCUGAGCUGUUGGAAAAUUGUCGAGCGUUGAGGGUAGAAAAACUGGUAUGGUGAAACGGUACUCUGUCUCAGUGAACGUUCGGUCACAUUAGAGAAGGAGAUGAGCUGUUGGAAGAGGCGCUGGAGGAAGAUAGCUUGUGGAGGUAGAAGUUAAGACCAAACAGUAGAAUCGUUCGGUCAGUAGUAUAGUCUGAUAGUAAGGUGAUCGCUCGAUCACCUUUUCCCUUUGCUUUUGUAUGACCGUUCGGUAUGGGCUUUUCUAAACCGUUCGGUCAGAACUGCUUAGUUUUAAGAUGAUCGUUCGAUCAUCUUUUCCCCUUUUCUUUUUGUAGGACCG